rnacentral:rRNA from 1 species
CACACGAAAAUAAAGCUGUCUCUAUAGGUCCGCUAAAAAUUAGUCUCCAAGUGAAGAAACUUGGAUGCCCCUAAAGGACAAGAAGACCCUGCAGAGCCUAAAAUUCCACCCUUAAAAUAAAAAAUUUAAUUUAAUAAUAAAAAGUAUAAAAUUUCUAGUUGGGGCAACCAGAAUAAAUCCUAAACUAUUCUCCUACAUAAGGCCUCCAGCCAAUUUCAAAGAUCCAAAAAAAUGACCACACGCAUAGGCUACCUCAGGGAUAACAGACUAAUCCUUCUUAAAAGCCCUUAUUAACAGAAGGGAUUGGCACCUCGAUGUGGGCUUAGGAA